rnacentral:rRNA from 1 species
AGAGCGAACGCUGGCGGCAGGCCUAACACAUGCAAGUCGAGCGCCCGUAGCAAUACGGGAGCGGCAGACGGGAGAGUAACACGUGGGAACGCGCCCUUCGGUUCGGAAUAACUCAGGGAAACUUGAGCUAAUACCGGAUACGCCCUUACGGGGAAAGAUUUAUUGCCGAAGGAACGGCCCGCGUCCGAUUAGCUUGUUGGUGAGGUAAUGGCUCACCAAGGCGACGAUCGGUAGCUGGUCUGAGAGGACGACCAGCCUCACUGGGACUGAGACACGGCCCAGACUCCUACGGGAGGCAGCAGUGGGGAAUAUUGGACAAUGGGCGCAAGCCUGAUCCAGCCAUGCCGCGUGGAUGAUGAAGGCCCUAGGGUUGUAAAGUCCUUUUAACGGGGAAGAUAAUGACGGUACCCGUAGAAUAAGCCCGGCUAACUUCGUGCCAGCAGCCGC